rnacentral:rRNA from 1 species
ACGGGUGAGUAACGCGUAAAGAACUUGCCCUUUAGACUGGGAUAACAGAGGGAAACUUCUGAUAAUACUGGAUAAGUUAGUAUAUCGCAUGAUAUGCAAAUGAAAGCUACGGCACUAAAGGAGAGCUUUGCGUCCUAUUAGCUAGUUGGUGAGGUAAGAGCUUACCAAGGCGAUGAUAGGUAGCCGGCCUGAGAGGGUGGACGGCCACAAGGGGACUGAGAUACGGCCCUUACUCCUACGGGAGGCAGCAGUA